rnacentral:rRNA from 1 species
AUUGAACGCUGGCGGCAUGCUUUACACAUGCAAGUCGAACGGCAGCGCGGGCUUCGGCCUGGCGGCGAGUGGCGAACGGGUGAGUAAUACAUCGGAACGUACCCAGUAGUGGGGGAUAGCUCGGCGAAAGCCGGAUUAAUACCGCAUACGACCUGAGGGUGAAAGCGGGGGAUCUUCGGACCUCGCGCUAUUGGAGCGGCCGAUGGCAGAUUAGCUAGUUGGUGGGGUAAAGGCCUACCAAGGCGACGAUCUGUAGCUGGUCUGAGAGGACGACCAGCCACACUGGGACUGAGACACGGCCCAGACUCCUACGGGAGGCAGCAGUGGGGAAUUUUGGACAAUGGGCGAAAGCCUGAUCCAGCAAUGCCGCGUGUGUGAUGAAGGCCUUCGGGUUGUAAAGCACUUUUGGCGGGAACGAAAAGGACUGUGCCAAUACCACGGUUCGAUGACGGUACCCGCAGAAUAAGCACCGGCUAACUACGUG